UGCUUUCUGUAUAUGGUCACAUUCAGUCUGAUUGGCACAACAAACACGAAAAAGUUGCAAUUGACGCUGGCGAUGCUUUUGCACUUUUGCCAAAUAAAGCGUGCAGGAAUUUGCGUACGCACAAAAACGCAGCAAACGCCAGCAAAGCAAAAUAGUAGUAGAAAAGGUAGUAAACAUGCGGCGCUCGUUAAUUAACUAAUUAACAAAGUGUGAAGAGAACGGGAAUAGAUACAAAAUAGGUGUUGCUCCUGACCAAAAGUAGUGCCCCAAAAAGAAAAAAAAUCGAAGCACAAGUUUUAAUAUGACAUCAUACGCAAAUGACACAACGACCACGGCCGCAGCUCCAACAACGACAACAACAACAGCAACCUCAAACUCAGGAGCAGCAGCGACAGCAGCGACUUCGGAAGCUACUGCAGUCGAGGCAACUGCAGCGCAGCUCAACAAGCAAAUGUCUAGUAGCAAUAACAACAAUGGGCGCUACGACGAGGACGAAGAUAACAGCAGCUUGGAUGGCCGUGAAAAAGCCGACACGACACCCGAGAACAUCAAGAAGAUUGCCGAGAUCAUAAGCGACAAGGAAGCAGCGGCUGCAGUAGCGACGCCUACGCAACAGCGACUGCAGAAUCAUGUCGCAUCGUCUGGCUUUGUAGGACUUGGCGCAGCCAUCGAUGAGUCAAACGUCAAGUUUUGCCUUGGCAAGCCGCCGCCGUCGCCGGCUGAAAAAGCGACUGUGCUGAGCCGAGCGAAUCAUCAUCAUCCACAUCAGAGCAACACCAACAGUAGCGGCGGCAACAGCAGCAGCAGCAGCGCUCACAAUAAUAAAGCCAACUCUGCGGCGGAUGAAGACGAUUCGACGGCAUCCAAUUCGACAACAACAACGAAGCAAUCGCUGGCCUUUACCAUAGAUCACUUUGACGCCUCGGAGAACGAAGCUGCGGCGCAAGCGGCACGCUACAAAAAUAUGAUGGAGCGCUUUCAGAGUCGCCAUCGUCGUGGCGCUUCCAUGUCCAAGCUGGAGACUGAGACGAGCAUGACGACGCCGACGGCAACAUCGUCGACGACAACAAAUGGCACAAGUGGCCGGCACUCGCAGCGCAGCAGUCUCGACGCCGGCAGCAUGAUGGCACAUGACGAUGGCUCGGCAGCUGCCACGCCCACCACGGAAGCGGCAACACCGGUGGUGAAAAUGCGUGUGCGUGAACGCAGCGCUUCCCGUGUGCGAGACGCUUCCAAGCGGCACAGCUGGUCGCCACGCAGCUCGGCAACCAGUGGCCACAUGGAACCAGCAACAGCACCAACAGCAACAGCAACUGCUCGUAUCAGCAGCAGAUCGAAACAAAUGCAACCAACGGCGCCGCCCAAGGGCGCGUCCAAUUUGCUGGCGAAUCGCACAGCGCAGUUUACGCCACGUUCGACGGCCAUGCAGCUGGCGUUGCAGCAAGUGGAUCUGCUGUGUCCGCAUCCGCCGCUGGACGAUAUCAAGCUGGUGGCCGAGGAGGAUGCGGUCAGUGAGGCGGGCACCUAUACACUGGACGGUGACAACUAUACGGAGGAGCAAAAGGAUCUCAUGAACAUUGAUCGCAAUGCGGCAGCAGCGGCGGCUGCGGCGGCGGCUGCUGCAGGCAAGUUGCGACCCAAGCAGCUAGCUGUGAAACCGCAUCGUGGCAGCAAUGUGCUAGAGGUGAACUACUAUCACGAGACGCCGCAGCAGGAGCAGAAGGGUAACAGCAACAAUGCCAACACAACUGCCGCUUAUCUGGAGCAGCUGAAAUCGCGUGUGUUGCGCCAGCAACCAGUGGCAACAACGACAACAACUGCAGCUGCACAGGCGCCACCAACACCGCCAUCGCCACGCACACCGGUCGCCGCCGUUGCUGCCGAUGUUGGCUGCUUUACGAGCGUAACGACGAGCGGUGUGCUGGCCAAGCAGCGAGCACUGGACACGCAUCCGAACAAGACACGUCACGCCUCGCACAGUCUGUCCACGUCGCAGAUCGAUAGCUCCGAGUAUGUGAGCAACGAGGCAAAGCUGCGUCACGCCCAGGCGAUGGCGGGCAGUGCUACGGAUCGCCAGAAGGCCGAGUAUCGCCUCAAUGUGUUCACCACCAGCACAACGCAACAGCAUCAUAAUCAGCAUCAGCAUCAGCUGCCCGAGACGCCGACAACGCCAACGAUGACGGAGGCAGCGUUGCUGCAGUCGGCGCCCACAAAGCAGGAUUGGAUACAGGAUUGGGCGCGUAAUGCGCGUGCCCGCAGUCUGGCGCAGGAUGUGAGCAGCAGCUCGGCUAGUCGACGCAAACAGCAGGCGCAGGCACAGCUCAUGACACGCAGCUACAACUGUUCGGACACGGCGGGCGAUUCGCUGACCGAUGACAGCCUCAGUUUGUACAGCCAACAGCAGCAGCAGCAGCGUCAAUAUGCCAAUGCGGCAGCAAAGCUUAAUCGCAGCUUGGCGGAACGCUAUCGGCUGCUGGGUGACUGUGACUACGCGAGCGAUCCGGCGUUGUGCAGCCAUGGCGCUGCUGGCGUUGGUCAAAUGCAGUUGCCGGGCGAGCCAUAUAAGCCGCCUAAGAGUCCCAGCAAGAUACCAUCGCCGCUGCACACGCUGGGACGUGCGCGCAGUGCCAGUCGCUCCAGGCCAGCCAUCGAUCAACAGCAGCUACAGCAGCAACAACAGCAGCAAUCGUCGUCGUCGCGUCGCAGUUCGGUCAAAUCGCCGGCGGCACAAUGCAGUCCACAGCAUAGUUUGGAGACGGGCUACAGACGCUCGCCAUUGCAUCGCGCUCUCAUGACCAGCAGCAUCAAUGAGGCACAAUUGCAGCUGCUCACCAGCGGCGAGUAUCUGCUAAAGCAGCUGCAUCGCCGCAAGAACUCGCUGGACGAUGUUGAGCACGAAUUGCCGCCAGCGGUUGCUGGUUCCAUAUCGCCGCUGCGACGCUCCAGCUCCUUCCAGCAGCAGCAACGUGGAGUGCACGGUGUGCGUCAGGCACGUCCCAAUUUCCAGAAUUUAUACACGCCGCCAGCGGCGCGACACGUGCAACAACAACAGCAGCUGCAGCAGCAACAGUUGCAGCUGAAGAAGUCGGCGAGCAGCAACAACUUUGAGCAAUCGUACAGCGAUUACGACAACGAGCUGCAGUACUACAUCAACGAUGAGGAUGAACUGGGCACCACAGGACCGUAUUACUCCAGUGGCGAAGAGGACAUCGAUGUGGACGAUGUGCAGCAGCAGCAGCAGCUUCAACAGCAACAGCAACAUCAGCCGCAUGCCGGCGACGCGUCGGUGCCGCUGAGCAAUACGCGACUCAACAAGGCGCUGCUGAUGCGCAUCGAGCGCAGCAAACAGCGUGUGGCUGGCAACGGUGCUUCAACUGAUCGUCAGACGCCAGCCAAACCGAGUUCGGCGCCGGCGGGCAAACUGAGUGCGGCUGCUCAGGCAGCGGCCGGACUUGUGGCAUGCCCCAAUACGCCCGAGUUGCCGCGACGUGGCAUCAAGAGUGCACCGCGUGCCGCGUCGGGCUGCGGACCCAAGACGCGUCAGUCGAUGCCACGUGAAACGAGUCUCAGUCGACUGGCGCAACAGGUGCCCAGCAGUUUGGCCAAUGCCAAGAAGCAGCUGCUGCAGACGGCGAAUGCGACGGCACGGGAGCAGCAACAGUUGCGUGUGCAGCCCAAGUACCUGGACAUAUCCAAGUACAAGUCGGCGCAGUCGAAUAAUUUUCUGCGCAAAAAUGAUUCAAAGAGCACCCUAAAACCAACGGAUCAAAUGAAACGCAGUCCCAGCGCCUCAUCGAUGGGUCUCAGCCGGGGCGAAUCGAAUCGUGCCAGCAAUCGCAGUGUUCGCUCCGCUGUCUCAGUGAUGAACAGCAGCACCACAUCGUUGGGUGGCGGCACACGUGCCACAUCUGCGGUGCGACGCGAUGCCUCCGUGAAUAAGCAAAAGGAGGCAGAGAUGGUCAUGUGGAAGCGACGCUCCACCUACGAUCCCAUGAAGGCAGCCGCUGAGGAUCGACGCCGCAAGGAAGAGGCACGCCGUGCCCAAAGUCAGAGCCAAGCACAGCGUCAGCUUAGCGAUGUGCCCGACGAGUUGCCAUUCGAAAGACCAUCACGAUCACACUAUCGCCGUGGACAGUUAUGACCAACGGAUGGUGUUCUAGUUACCGAUCUGUAAACCACAACAACCGCCACCACCACAACCACAACUACAACAACAACACCAAAACAUUCGAACAACUAUCUUUCCACACACCCAAACAACACAAAAACUCACACACUACAUUUAAUAAAUGGUGCAAGCAGCAGACCCCAGCGAAAUGCGGUUCCUAACAGCGUAAUUAAUACUGAUUGUUACACUAGAAAGAAAUUCCAGUGCGAGGCAAUCUGAAAACAACGAUAUUAUUUAAGGAUAUAUAUACAUCUAUAUCUAUGCAUAUACACACACAGACGCAUAAGUGUAUAUAUAUAGGAUAUAUGUUUCCGAAUCCUUUGAACGACAACGAAUUGCUGCGAUGACGCUGCAUUGAUUCGACGAGUUGCCAAAUUACCCAAAGGCCGGCCAACAAUUUGACCAUUACGGGCAGCGUGAAUUACAGCCCAAGAAACUCAAUGGAAAACGACGCCUGGAUGCUUGGUGAAUCAUCA